rnacentral:rRNA from 1 species
CUUUGGGAUAACCCUCGGAAACGGGGGCUAAUACCGAAUAUGACUGCGCAUCGCAUGGUGUGUGGUGGAAAGUUUUUCGGCCUGGGAUGGGCUCGCGGCCUAUCAGCUUGUUGGUGGGGUGAUGGCCUACCAAGGCGACGACGGGUAGCCGGCCUGAGAGGGCGACCGGCCACACUGGGACUGAGACACGGCCCAGACUCCUACGGGAGGCAGCAGUGGGGAAUAUUGCACAAUGGGCGGAAGCCUGAUGCAGCGACGCCGCGUGAGGGAUGACGGCCUUCGGGUUGUAAACCUCUUUCAGCAGGGACGAAGCGUAAGUGACGGUACCUGCAGAAGAAGCGCCGGCCAACUACGAGCCAGCAGCCGCGGUAAGGCGUAGGGCGCGAGCGUUGUCCGGAUUUAUUGGGCGUAAAGGGCUCGUAGGUGGUUGAUCGCGUCGGAAGUGUAAUCUUGGGGCUUAACCCUGAGCGUGCUUUCGAUACGGGUUGACUUGAGGAAGGUAGGGGAGAAUGGAAUUCCUGGUGGAGCGGUGGAAUGCGCAGAUAUCAGGAGGAACACCAGUGGCGAAGGCGGUUCUCUGGGCCUUUCCCGACGCUGAGGAGCGAAAGCGUGGGGAGCGAACAGGCUUAGAUACCCUAGUAGUCCACGCUGUAAACGUUGGGCGC